CCCUUAGACGUUCUGGGCCGCACGCGCGCUACACUGACCAGUGCAACAAGCAUCCGUCCUUGGCCGACAGGCUCGGGCAAUCUUUGAACGCUGGUCGUGAUGGGGAUAGACUUUUGCAAUUUUUGGUCUUCAACGAGGAAUUCCUAGUAAACGCAAGUCAUCAGCUUGCAUUGAUUACGUCCCUGCCCUUUGUACACACCGCCCGUCGCACCUACCGAUUGAAUGGUCCGGUGAAAUCUCGGGACGGCGGCUUGGUCGCUUGCGUCCGACUGCUGAAACUUGAUUAAACCAUAUCAUUUAGAGGAAGGUGAANUCGUANCA
rnacentral:rRNA from 1 species